GACGAACGCUGGCGGCGUGCCUAAUACAUGCAAGUCGAACGCAGUGGGGACGGGUGAGUAACACGUGGGUAACCUCCCAUCAGAGGGGAUAACACUUGGAAACAGGUGCUAAACCGAUACUGAUGGAUGGACCCGCGGUGCAUGAGCUAGUUGGUGGGGUAACGGCUCACAAGGGCCACGAUGCAUAGCCGACCUGAGAGGGUGAUGUGCGAGACUGGCACUGAGACACGGCCCAGACGCCUACGGGAGGCAGGAGUGGGGAAUCUGCGGCAAUGGGCGAAAGUCUGACCGAGCAACGCCGCGUGAGUGAAGAAGGUGUUGGGAUCGUAAAACUCUGUUGUUAGAGAAGCGGUAUCUAACCAGAAAGCCACGGCUAACUACGUGCCAGCAGCCGCGGUAAUAC
rnacentral:rRNA from 1 species